UGGGGCAUCGUCUAAUGGCAGGACGACGGUCUCUGACACCGUUAAUCAAGGUUCGAGUCCUUGUGCCCCAGCCA
rnacentral:tRNA from 2 species